rnacentral:misc_RNA from 1 species
AAGUCGUAACAAGGUUUCCGUAGGUGAACCUGCGGAAGGAUCAUUCAAAAUGGUAUCCAGUAAUGGAUUUACUCCAAUCUUUGUGCAUUGAAAUCGGCAUCUGUCAAAGGAUGUUGGUUUGAAAGUAACCUUCAAAAUAAUCAUUGUCUGAACAUAUCUUGAAUACUUAAUUCAAAAUACAACUUUCAACAACGGAUCUCUUGGCUCUC